GAUGAACGCUGGCGGCGUGCUUAAUACAUGCAAGUCGAACGAAGUCAGUAGCAAUAUUGGCUGAGUGGCGAACGGGUGAGUAACGCGUUGGUGACCUGCCCCGAAGAGAGGGAUAACAGUCCGAAAGGAUUGCUAAUACCCCAUGUGGUCAGCGGGUUUAGAAACCGCUGAAAAAAGAAGCAAUUCGCUUUGGGAGGGACCUGCGUCCCAUCAGCUAGUUGGUAGGGUAAUGGCCUACCAAGGCUGCGACGGGUAGGGGGCCUGAGAGGGUGGCCCCCCACAUUGGCACUGACACACGGGCCAAACACCUACGGGAGGCUG
rnacentral:rRNA from 1 species